UACGUAGGGGGCUAGCGUUGUCCGGAUUUAUUGGGCGUAAAGAGCGUGUAGGCGGCCAGGUAGGUCUGAUGUGAAAACUCGAGGCUUAACCUCGAGAUGUCAUCGGAAACCAUCUGGCUAGAGUCCGGAAGAGGAGAGUGGAAUUCCUGGUGUAGCGGUGAAAUGCGCAGAUAUCAGGAAGAACACCAAUGGCGAAAGCAGCUCUCUGGGACGGUACUGACGCUGAGACGCGAAAGCGUGGGGAGCGAACAGG
rnacentral:rRNA from 1 species